AUUGAACGCUGGCGGAAUGCUUUACACAUGCAAGUCGAGCGGCAGCGCGGGACAACCUGGCGGCGAGCGGCGAACGGGUGAGUAAUGCAUCGGAACGUACCCCGUCGUGGGGGAUAACUACCCGAAAGGGUAGCUAAUACCGCAUACGACCUGAGGGUGAAAGCGGGGGACCGAAAGGCCUCGCGCGAUGGGAGCGGCCGAUGCCGGAUUAGCUAGUUGGUAGGGUAAAGGCCUACCAAGGCGACGAUCCGUAGCUGGUCUGAGAGGACGACCAGCCACACUGGAACUGAGACACGGUCCAGACUCCUACGGGAGGCAGCAGUGGGGAAUUUUGGACAAUGGGCGAAAGCCUGAUCCAGCCAUUCCGCGUGAGUGAAGAAGGCCUCGGUUGUAA
rnacentral:rRNA from 1 species